GACGAACGCUGGCGGCGUGCUUAACACAUGCAAGUCGAACGGAAAGGCCCUGCUUUUGUGGGGUGCUCGAGUGGCGAACGGGUGAGUAACACGUGAGUAACCUGCCCUUGACUUUGGGAUAACUUCCGGAAACUGGGGCUAAUACCGGAUAGGAGCUCCUGCUGCAUGGUGGGGGUUGGAAAGUUUCGGCGGUUGGGGAUGGACUCGCGGCUUAUCAGCUUGUUGGUGGGGUAGUGGCUUACCAAGGCUUUGACGGGUAGCCGGCCUGAGAGGGUGACCGGCCACAUUGGGACUGAGAUAGGGCCCAGACUCCUACGGGAGGCAGCAGUGGGGAAUAUUGCACAAUGGGCGGAAGCCUGAUGCAGCAACGCCGCGUGCGGGAUGACGGCCUUCGGGUUGUGAACCGCUUUCGCCUGUGACGAAGCGUGAGUGACGGUAAUGGGUAAAGAAGCACCGGCUAACUACGUG
rnacentral:rRNA from 1 species